UUAAGCCAAAAACUAUUAUAAUUGCCAUAAUUAAGUUCCCAUACUUUAUGGAGUUACCAUAGGGACCUGAUCGGACAUAUAUUAUCCAAGCUUUAAUAAUUAAAUCCUGUCGUGUCAGCCCUAAACAACUCAAUCUAAUUAUUAGUCUUUGUUUUUUCCACUAAAAGCAAAAUAUUGAACUCUCGGAAUAUAUAAGAUCACAGAAGCCUAAAAAUCUAUAAUACUUUCCUUUGACCUGCUGGAUAUGUAUUUUAUCCCCAUUCGAGAUCCGAUAAUUAGGUACGAGUAUAAAUUGCCGUUUUGUCCUUCUAAUUAGUCUAACUAAUUUAAGUUUAAUUUUCUUCAACGGUCCUGUGAACUUAUCACAGAUGUCGAAAUUUAGCCGUCGCUAAACACCGAGCUCAAAUUUUAACAGUUCAACAAAAAAUACUUAAGUAGUCACUCUACCUAUUUUCCAGGGCGACGGUUCUCGAUACGAAUUCAUGUUCUCUACUCCGCUCAUUCUUAAAUUCCCAACUCAUUGAAAUAUUUGGCCAAUCAAAUUGAUCUCACCCAUUGAUGAAUUAAAGAACCAUUAAAAUCACGAAAAGAUAUACAUAAUUCUGUCAAGGGAUUUGGAUGAAAUACACAGCGGUCUAAUGCAAUUUAAUUCUCCGCACGGCCAUGUUAUAGAAUUAAAUUCGACACGGUACACUCCAAGUGUACUAGUGUCACCUUUAGCUAUUUAUGUUAUAAGGAUAAAUCACAAACCUUAAUAGUGAAUCGGUUAACACUAGAACCUUCAGGACAAGGUGUCAACUCUUAUGCAUUGGUUGUGAACAAAUUAUUUAUGAUCAAAUUAUAAGUUGUAUCACAUCGUACUUCUCAACGCAAGUACCCAACAUUCAUUAUCUCAAGUGAUCAAUGACACUUUAAUAUGCAUACUCAAUAAUAAAUAAUGCAAUAAAUAAAUAAAACCACAAUUUAUUUAUUAUACAUUAUUGUUUUAUCAUAGCAAAAUAUACUAUAUGGGCGCACAACCCAACAAUUACACAUUCCUCCUAGAUAUAAUAUGGUUGCUUAAUAGGUAGUGUAAGAAUUUCGAGAAUUGAACCAUUAAAGAAUUUUUUAUUUGAGCAAAAGGUGGACAAUAUGUGCAAUGAAUAGUUAAUCCUUGUAGCUAAGCUUAAAAAUAAGUCAAACAUAUUUUUGAAUAAUUAUUUUGUUUGCUCCUGUUUGGAUAAAUUAUUAUUACUAUUAGCAAAAGCUAAAAGGAUCACUUAUUUUGAUAAGUUAAUAAGUUGAAAAGUUGUAUACCUUGUCAAAGUUGAAACCUUUUGUUGUAAGUGGUAAAUGUAAUUAAGCCUGAUUUAUUCAUAUCAAAGGUUUCAAUUCACACUACCCCUUCCCUUUCUUCCCCUCAUUUUUUAUGUACAAAACUUUGGAUUUUUCUUUAAUGGAAAAUGGGUCUUUUCCAAUUUUAGCGCACACAUUACCUUUGUGCAUACUUAUUAUGUCUAUGAAUUGUUCUUUUUGAUGGCGCCGUGGUCAACUGUGUUCAUGUAUAUAAUAUCAUCUAUGGACUCAACAAAAUAUCACAGUUAGCCAAUGGAAUAAUCAUUUUUUAAGUGGGUAAUAGUUGUGUAAUUCUACUUUAUUCUCUUUUCUGCCGUGCAGUUUGAGUUAAUUGUUUACAGAAUGCUACUGAAAUAUGUAUACUGGAUUUUCUUUCUCUAGCUUUUUAUUCAUGUACUCCUCACUUAUUUUCCCCUCUCUGACGGAUCAUGUACUUUUCUUCCCUUUUUAAUCUCCGGGGACUUUGGCACUUGUACAUGCUUGCUGAUGAUGUCACUUCAUAUUUGGCAGAAAAUACAAGCAUCACCGCUUGUUAUUAGGAGAAUAUUCAGAAUAAUGAUGGAGCCCCAUCAUUUUCGAUUUAUCUACUACAUAAUGCGCUUUCUUGGGGUAAGGUCUCCGCAUAAUUACUCAACAAACUGUUCUUCUGCCUUUUCUCUAUGAAAUAGGGGAGUUUGAGUUUAUCCCAACUGGAGGGCUGGGGAUUCACAGAAUGCUUGAUGUCGGUACCAAUGUGCUCGUUCUCACUUUCCUUGUCAUUAGUAUCUGGCGUAAAUGGGCAGCCAGGGGUCGUGCAUGGAGGUUGGCCGUUCUGCGAGCAUGGCGUGCUUGAGCCACGAGUUCAGAUGAAUCUUUAAAUUUGUGUUGUUUGUAAUCACAGAUUCACCUGUGGACUGUAUCAUUGCUGUGUAGAUUAGCUGCUUCUCACAUUUUAUAGGUUUGUUGUAUACCUCGUUUAUGUUUAAAGAUUGAUGUUGAUGAGAGCAUCUUAUCAGCAACUUUUUAUCAGUAUUCGUGUUUUAUGAAAUUAUACCGUUGGCCUCCAACCUAUUCUCCCAAAUAACAAGAUGAUAGUUAUAUGCAUGAACGAUGCUAUCUAGUAUCAGUUUAGAUGAUAGUAAAGGCCUACUAAACUUGUACAAUGAGUCUAUUGAUGCUAGGCAUUGAAGCUAUGUAACAUUACCAGAUGA